rnacentral:rRNA from 1 species
GAUGAACGCUGGCGGCGUGCCUAAUACAUGCAAGUCGAGCGGUAAGGCUCCUUCGGGAGUACACGAGCGGCGGACGGGUGAGUAAUACGUAGGAACGUACCCCAAAGUGAGGGAUAACCAGCCGAAAGGUUGGCUAAUACCGCAUAUGCUCUACGGAGUAAAGCAGCAAUGCGCUUUGGGAACGGCCUGCGUCCGAUUAGCUAGUUGGUAAGGUAAAGGCUUACCAAGGCGACGAUCGGUAGCUGUUCUGAGAGGAUGAUCAGCCACACUGGAACUGAGACACGGUCCAGACUCCUACGGGAGGCAGCAGUAGGGAAUUUUCCACAAUGGGCGAAAGCCUGAUGGAGCAACGCCGCGUGCAGGAUGAAGGCCUUAGGGUCGUAAACUGCUUUUAUCUGUGACGAUUAUGACAGUAGCAGAUGAAUAAGGAUCGGCUAACUCCGUGCCAGCCGCCGCCGUAA